rnacentral:rRNA from 1 species
UACGUAGGGGGCAAGCGUUGUCCGGAAUCAUUGGGCGUAAAGCGCGCGUAGGCGGCUCGAUCAGUCUGCUGUAAAAGUCAAAGGCUCAACCUUUGAAUGCCGGUGGAUACUGUCGGGCUAGAGUCCGGAAGAGGCGAGUGGAAUUCCUGGUGUAGCGGUGGAAUGCGCAGAUAUCAGGAGGAACACCAACGGCGAAGGCAGCUCGCUGGGACGGUACUGACGCUAAGGCGUGAAAGCGUGGGGAGCGAACAGG